rnacentral:rRNA from 1 species
UAGGGAAUCUUCGGCAAUGGGGGGAACCAUGACCGAGCAACGCCGCGUGAGUGAAGAAGGUUUUCGGAUCGUAAAGCUCUGUUGUUAAGGAAGAACGAGUGUGAGAAUGGAAAGUUCAUGCUGUGACGGUACUUAACCAGAAAGGGACGGCUAACUACGUGCCAGCAGCCGCGGUAAUACGUAGGUCCCGAGCGUUGUCCGGAUUUAUUGGGCGUAAAGCGAGCGCAGGCGGUUAGAAAAGUCUGAAGUGAAAGGCAGUGGCUCAACCAUUGUAGGCUUUGGAAACUGUUUAACUUGAGUGCAGAAGGGGAGAGUGGAAUUCCAUGUGUAGCGGUGAAAUGCGUAGAUAUAUGGAGGAACACGGGUGGCGAAAGCGGCUCUCUGGUCUGUAACUGACGCUGAGGCUCGAAAGCGUGGGGAGCGAACAGG